ACAAACAAGGAAGACAGAGGAUGUAGGAGUUGCAGGAUAUGGCGUCCGACCGCACGAGGAAGAGCAGCACAGCCCGGCGUUUCGGGCGUCGGAGAUGCGCGGAGAAGCACCCCGUCACCCGUACGGCACGAGGGCCUGACGGCCUUCACUACCCCCGCAUCCCCACUGCGCGCUCAAGGCAGUUGAAGUGCCGGCGCGGCGGCCCGGCCUGACCCCGGCGUCAAUGUACGGAGGGGACGACGAGGACGGCGAAGGCAGCAGCGGAUCCUGGAUGCGGCGGGAGGCUACCCGACGUGGCCGAUGCGGCCACAGGAGAGGUAGGUGUCCUUGCUGCUACUUGACCACGAUGGCGCGACGGAUCGAGGGGAUCGGCCGCGCAUCCUACGAGGGCGCUGUUUCUGGCGGAGAUCGAUCUCCCCGGAGGUAGUGCGAGGACAACGGAAGUCGAAGGUCUACGAUUUGAAUCUAGACUCGUGAUACUAUGUAAGAUUGUGUAUAUUGCGUGGGAUGUAUUGCUUGAGCUCCUUGGACUGAUUAAUAAGAGUACAUAGUUUGGAGGGCAAGUAGUCUCUCCUAGAUUACAA
rnacentral:lncRNA from 1 species